rnacentral:rRNA from 1 species
CCGGAUAUUUGGAGGUUCCUGGAAUGGUUCUCCAUUGAAAUGUUCAGGCGCCUAAGGAUGGAUCUGCGGCCGAUUAGGUUGUUGGUGGGGUAAAGGCCCACCAAGCCUGUGAUCGGUACGGGUUGUGAGAGCAAGAGCCCGGAGAUGGAACCUGAGACAAGGUUCCAGGCCCUACGGGGCGCAGCGGGCGCGAAACCUCCGCAAUGCACGCAAGUGCGACGGGGGGACCCCAAGUGCCACUCUUAACGGGGUGGCUUUUUUGGAGUGUAAAAAGCUUUAAGAAUAAGAGCUGGGCAAGACCGGUGCCAGCCGCCGCGGUAACACCGGCGGCCCGAGUGGUGAUCGUGAUUAUUGGGUCUAAAGGGUCCGUAGCCGGUUUGGUCAGUCCUCCGGGAAAUCUGAUAGCUUAACUGUUAGGCUUUCGGGGGAUACUGCCAGGCUUGGAACCGGGAGAGGUAAGAGGUACUACAGGGGUAGGAGUGAAAUCUUGUAAUCCCUGUGAGACCACCUGUGGCGAAGGCGUCUUACCAGAACGGGUUCGACGGUGAGGGACGAAAGCUGGGGGCACGAACCGGAUUAGAUACCCGGGUAGUCCCAGCCGUAAACUAUGCUCGCUAGGUGUCAGGCAUGGCGCGACCGUGUCUGGUGCCGCAGGGAAGCCGUGAAGCGAGCCACACUGGGAAGUACGGCCGCAAGGCUGAAACUUAAAGGAAUUGGCGGGGGAGCACA